CAAUACUAAAUGUUGCUUAUAUAUAUGGUAAAGAACUGCAUGCUGAUCAAACACCAUAUUCAGGGCUAUUGUUUCCUCCUAGGUAGAAGAAUGUGAGCCAUCACUGGGGAGGAACACAUUGGAUGCUUCAUCUGUACUGACUUCUCAGGGUGCUAGCCAUCCCAAACAACAAUGAAGCAAGAAACAAACUCUACCUUUGAUAAUACUAGAAGAUCUAUAUAACCCUGAAACUCAUCAGGUCUUCCAGGUCCAACCUGUCAACUUGUAGACUAAUAUAAUACGCUGGGCCAUGAAGAAGACUGGACAAAAAUGGCCCAGUGCUAAUCUUUUAUCUGGAGAACAAAAGUAACUCAA